rnacentral:lncRNA from 1 species
AGUUCAGACACGGCACUUUGGAGAGGAGUAAGCACUUUGGUACCAGAAGGGGACGGGGUGGGCUUCAUCCAGCUACCCAGAGGCGGUCUGCAGUCCCUCAGUUCGAACGGGGGACAUCCAACACUUUGUAACCACUUCAGAAUGUUGAAAACUGUUGUACAAAGUAAUUAAUGAGCUGCCCUGGAUCUGAGGCAAGCGACGGAAGAGUCAAGAUGAUUAAAAGUCUUCUGAUAAAGGGUUUCUUUAAGGAAAAGAAAAUCCCACAAUGCAACCAGCAAUGUUAAUCUUCAAUAAAUACGCUGUUAAUAUUUAACUGGCAUUUAUUUAAACUUACAGUAACGGUCCUAUUAAAUCUAAAUUAAUUGCCCAUUUGGGAAUCUUCCCCUAAAGCCUAGCUGGGACAUGGCUAUCUAGAUACAGUCUAUGCUAGGCAUCCAGCCAUAAAGAGAAUAUUUACACACUCCUUCCAUGACUAGACUAUUGGAAUAUCCGGGUUAGAAGAGUUUUAGAGAUCUAUUGGACUGGUUGCACACUGUCUGUCCUUUAACUUUCCGCGGCCCUAUUUUUUUUUUUCUUCUCUUCAGUAAGGGAUUUUUUCUGUGUUUCCUGUAUCUACCUCUUCCCACCUUUUCUUUUUAUUUGGAUUCUCUCUCCUUUCUGUUAGUGUUUGUUUCUUCUGGACUUCAUGGUUUAGACUCAUCCUGCUGUGUUUUAUCUCAAUCUCUGCUGAGUUUCUCAGAUAAGCCAUUUAGGCAUAUGUUCAUAGCAUAUUCUGUACACACACGGAUACAUAUACAUACAUAUAAUUUUAUGUGUCACAGAGAACAUUUUAUAAUAGCAGUUGUAUAUAAAAGGCUAAGUGCCGUGAAAUAAUUCCUGAGUCAUGCUGCUUUAGAAGGGGCAGCAAGAGUGUAAUUGGGUAGAACUGAUAUUUGCUAUCCCUGAAAUCAAUCAAUAUUCUUUAUUAGAAAUGUGGACCUGGAUGAACUGCUGUGAUGUUAUUUUGCUGGGAUUGUAACCCAUUUACAUUUCCACACCAAACAUAUACAGACACACCAUACCAGUUUCAUCAGAUCAGUUGACUACUGAGACAUGGAUUUCAAACAAACACCUAAUUAGAGGGGUUAGUGUUCAAACUGAGUUAACUUUAAACCAAUGCAUCAAGGCUGCACAGAAUCUGAACUUUCCUUGGGGAAGCAGGAACUGGAUGAGACUAAAAUCGUUCACUCUAAGGUUCUAAAUGUUUAGUUCACCAAGUUUGAUUUGUAAAUGUUCACUGUUUGCUUUGCAGGCCCCGGGACAGGAAUGGUAGUAGGGAGGGGACAAAGCACCAGUGAGGAGCAGGUGAAGUGGUGGGAAGGCACCCACACAUUUUAAGAAGAUAAACAUACUCUCAACUGUUUGUUUGUGGAAGGCUUGAAUUUGUACUGCCCUAGAAGUCAAGUUUCUUUGUAUUUCUAGCUAAACUAAUACCCAAACUAUCCACUUCCUUUUUUAAUUCUUUACUUCAAUUUAAAGUAUCUAUUGACUCUGACAAACUUAUUGACUCUUACAAAGAAAUAAUAAAAUGCAUUUCUGUAUGCUUGUGAAUCUCUGUGACUUUCACCUUGUUGGUCCACCUGUAUGCAUUACCAUCGUGAGUUCAG